rnacentral:tRNA from 1 species
GCGGGCUUAGCUCAGUUGGUAGAGCAUCAGCUUCCCAAGCUGGGGGUCGCGAGUUCGAGCCUCGUAGCCCGCUCCA